AGAGGCUUAGGAUAGCACCCAGACCAAG
rnacentral:tRNA from 1 species